UCUCUCGCCACGUCAGCACCUUCGGUCCCAGGAGCCUCCCACCGCACCUCACCGACCGGGUAUAACAGCACACUGUUUCCUGUGUCUUCAGAGACCUGUUGAGAUACAAGAAUGCUGAUAACGGUAAGGUCGUGGGGGCUGCUGGUGACGGUUCUGCCAACACUUGUGGUUGUCGCACAUCUGCGUCGCCCCUCUGAAAAUGCUGAUGCGCUAACACCUGCAUCAAGCGCUGUGAGAGAAGUGAUGGAGAAUGAACCACAACCUCUCUGCUCUGUGGUAGUCUUCGCUGAUGGAGGCCUCUCUACUUCAUUCAUAGCCUCGGUAACACGAGAGAGCCACAUGUUACCGGGUGUGACAGUGUUGGAGGUGUCAGCGGUCGGCCAGAACGCAAACUUGACGCUAAUGCAAGUUUCCAAGGUGCUCGGCGUGGCUCU